GUCGGAGGAGGCAAGCGUUAUCCGGAAUUAUUGGGCGUAAAGCGUCCGCAGGUGGCGAUUCAAGUCUGCUGUCAAAGGUCGGGGCUUAACCCCGGGAAGGCAGUGGAAACUGAAUAGCUAGAGUGCGGUAGGGGCAGAGGGAAUUCCCGGUGUAGCGGUGAAAUGCGUAGAGAUCGGGAAGAACACCAGAGGCGAAAGCGCUCUGCUGGGCCUGCACUGACACUGAGGGACGACAGCUAGGGGAGCGAAAGGG
rnacentral:rRNA from 1 species